AACGAACGCUGGCGGCGCGCCUAAUACAUGCAAGUCGAGCGAGAAGACGUAGCAAUACGUUUGUAAAGCGGCGAACGGGUGAGGAAUACAUGGGUAACCUACCCUCGAGUGGGGAAUAACUAGCCGAAAGGUUAGCUAAUACCGCGUACGCUCCUUGGACUUCGGUUCAGGGAGGAAAGCGAUACCGUGGGUAUCGCGCUCUUGGAUGGGCUCAUGUCCUAUCAGCUUGUUGGUGAGGAACGGCUCACCAAGGACUUCGACGGGUAGCUGGUCUGAGAGGACGGAUCAGCCACACUGGCACUGCGACACGGGCCAGACUCCUACGGGAGGCAGCAGUAAGGAAUAUUGCGCAAUGGGCGAAAGCCUGACGCAGCGACGCCG
rnacentral:rRNA from 1 species